rnacentral:misc_RNA from 1 species
UAGAUAAGAUAUAGACCUAAAACUUUCAUGAAGAACACAAACCCAAAUUAUGCCAUUAACCAAGUCAUUUGGCCACCCCAAGUUGGUGACCCAAAUCUGCCAGCACCAAAAAUUGCCCAGAAUUCUGGGUUGAAUUCAAUCCGGCAACCAUGGUUCAAAUGGCCAUAACUUGAGCUACAAAACUCCAAAUGGAGUGAUUCAAAAAAGGAAAUUCAACUAGACAAAAUAAGAAACAACUUUCAUGUUUACCAUUUCCUCAAAUUCCCACUGUAACAGUGCUUAAUGGAAUAGUAAAGUUAAGCUUCAAAAAUUGAAAAUUUUGCUUCUCUUGGUUUAAGCUUAGAAAUGGUAUUAAUGCUUAAUGCCAACAAGUUUUAAAUAUAAAAUGUGGUAUAUUGGAAGUGUUAAAACCAAUGCAACUAUUUUCUAUGCAAAAUUCAACUUUUUGUUGACCAAUGAAGUGAAUAGUGACACCAAGACUUGAAAUUCAAAAAUUGUGAAACUUAAAAGUGCAAAAUGCCCUAGUAGGCCUAAUGUGAUUGGUUUGGAUAGGUUGGCAUGCCAAUAGGGUUCUGAUAGCAGUACUGCGUAUGGCUUCAUGUCAUUCUGUGAUAUGAUAGCCUAUGGCUAUACUGAUUAUGAUGUUAUACUUGGCUUUAUGCCUUAUUGCUUUUAUGGCUUAUUAGCCAUUCUGUUUGCACACCGGGAGACACAUUGUGACCGAUGGUGUGACGGCCCGAGGUACUAGGUACCCAGUGCCAGUUUACCCGUUAUCCAGUCCAGUCGUCUAGUGUAGGUUACUUGGGGCAACCAAAUGAAUAAAAGUGGACAAAGUAAAUGAUAUAUAAAUACCAAACAAAUAAAACGUACACAUUCACUACACAUUUAAUUUCUUGCUAUUUUCUUUUAUUAUAUUAUUGCACCACUAAGCAUUAUUGCUUAGCGCGUUGCUUUUGCCACGCGUAGGUACUGGAGAUACAGAUCGUGAGCCCAGUAGACCGCAGACUGGGUGAGUCCAUCCUGCAGCUCUGCAUAGUGUCCGUGUCACCUCACCAUCUUCAGUGCAUUGGUAGGACACUAGGUUUCAUUUUGAUAUUUUGUAACUAAUUUUUAUUUUCUCAUAUGUAAUUGAACUUAUGAAAUGUAUUUUGAUGUUCAUGUAAAUAAUGAGAAUUGUGUUUGUAAAUGAAAAAGUGAAUGUUUAUCUGUGAUAUAUAUAUGAUUAUCACAUGAAAUGAAUGAUUG